AUGAAGUUGAAGCUUGUAGUGUAUUUGCGAAGAUCCAAAGGAAAUUCUACAACUAAUCUUCCAUCUAUACCUACUAAAAGCCCAUCCAAACCCGACGUUGAGAAUUUUUCUUCCGUUGAGGUGGAGGAACCAUUGGAAGAAGAAGAGGAGUUUUGGAACAAAGGAACAUUUGAGGUGCUGGUUUGA